rnacentral:rRNA from 1 species
CGUGUAGGUGGCUAAUUAAGUCAGGUGUGAAAUCCUUCCGCUUAACGGAAGAAGUGCACUUGAAACUGCUUAGCUAGAGUACGGGAGAGGAAGGUGGAAUUCCUGGUGUAGAGGUGAAAUUCAUAGAUAUCGGGAAGAACACCGGUGGCGAAGGCGGCCUUCUGGCCCGAUACUGACGCUGAGACGCGAAACGCGUGGGAGCAAACA